rnacentral:rRNA from 1 species
CAGUCGCCGCGGUAAUACAGAGGGUGCGAGCGUUAAUCGGAUUUACUGGGCGUAAAGCGUGCGUAGGCGGCUAAUUGAGUCGGAUGUGAAAUCCCCGAGCUUAACUUGGGAAUUGCAUUCGAUACUGGUUAGCUAGAGUGUGGGAGAGGAUGGUAGAAUUCCAGGUGUAGCGGUGAAAUGCGUAGAGAUCUGGAGGAAUACCGAUGGCGAAGGCAGCCAUCUGGCCUAACACUGACGCUGAGGUACGAAAGCAUGGGGAGCAAACAGGAUUAGAUACCCCGGUAGUCCCUGUCUCUUAUAA